GACGAACGCUGGCGGCGUGCCUAAUACAUGCAAGUAGAACGCUGAAGGAGGAGCUUGCUCUUCUGGAUGAGUUGCGAACGGGUGAGUAACGCGUAGGUAACCUGCCUGGUAGCGGGGGAUAACUAUUGGAAACGAUAGCUAAUACCGCAUAACAGUAGAUGUUGCAUGACAUUUACUUAAAAGUUGCAAUUGCAUCACUACCAGAUGGACCUGCGUUGUAUUAGCUAGUUGGUGGGGUAACGGCUCACCAAGGCGACGAUACAUAGCCGAACUGAGAGGGUGAUCGGCCACACUGGGACGGAGACACGGCCCAGACUCCUACGGGAGGCAGCAGUAGGGAAUCUUCGGCAAUGGACGGAAGUCUGACCGAGCAACGCCGCGUGAGUGAAGAAGGUUUUCGGAUCGUAAAGCUCUGUUGUAAGAGAAGAACGAGUGUGAGAGUGGAAAGUUCACACUGUGACGGUAUCUGACCAGAAAGGGACGGCUAACUACGUG
rnacentral:rRNA from 1 species